CUCCGAUAAUGGCAAACCCGGAGAAAUCCGGCGACGCAAAGCCAUGGGUCCUCGGUACCGCAUCCUGCGGGACCCGGAUCGCCAGGUUUCCGAC
rnacentral:ncRNA from 1 species